rnacentral:rRNA from 1 species
GCUGGAAUCGCUAGUAAUCGCGAAUCAGAAUGUCGCGGUGAAUACGUUCCCGGGUCUUGUACACACCGCCCGUCACGCCAUGGGAGUCGGAAAUGCCCGAAGUCUGUGACCCAACCUGAGAGGGAGGGAGCAGCCGAAGGCAGGUCUGAUGACUGGGGUGAAGUCGUAACAAGGUAUC